AAAAGAAAAUGACUACCUGCAAGCUAAGGAGAGAGGCCUGAGAAGAAAACAAACCUGCUGACACCUUAAUCUUGGAUUUCUAGUCUCCAAAAUGUCUGAAGAUGUCUGGACCAUUUCUGAUAUCCUGAAGAUUACGAGACUAGUUAAAGCAACCUCAGCCUGGGCAUAAUGACCAUCCGUGGUCAGGGAACUCGGAGAGGAAUGUGUGCUUUAUGACAUCAGAGAUCUUUCCUAAGAAGAAACUCUUUCCAUAAGAAACUCUUAAAAACCAGAAUCACACUUCCUCUGCUCACCUUCCUGUUUCUGCAACUCUCGGCGCUGGGUCUACAGCGGCUGCUGCACCAG